rnacentral:lncRNA from 1 species
CAAUUUACAACAAUACAUUAUGAGCCACUUGAGGCCUACAGUGAAAAACAGAAUAUCACAAGAUAAAAAAUAGAAACAAGCCAUCUGUAAAAAUAAUUUAUGAUGUGUGGAUUUAUCUCACGAAAUGGAAACUUUCUUUUGAUUUAAGAGGCUGGAAACACUCUUAUUCUAGAAUCUAUGAAGGGACAUUUCUCAGUCCAUUGAGUCAAAUAGUGAAGAACCGAAUAUUUUGCAAUAAAAAUUUGAAAGAAACUAUCUUUGAAAAUGCUUUGCCAUGUGUGGAUUCAUGUCACAGGGCUAAAACUUUGUUUUGAUUCAAAAGUUUGUAAUCACUCUUUUUGUGGAAACUAUGAAGGAACAUGGAAACAAGCUAUCAGGAAAAACACUUUGCAAAGUGUGGAUUCAUAUCACCCAAUGGAACCUCUGUUUUGAUACACCUGGUUGGAAACACUUUUUUUGUACAAUCUAUGAAGGAAUAUUUUUGAGCAUAUUGAAGCCAAUAAUAAAAAACCAAAUAUCAUGUGAUAAAAACU